rnacentral:rRNA from 1 species
CGAAGUCCAUUGAGCUAAAUAUUAAAUAGUAUUAGCUAUUGAUUAUUAGUGUAGUAAUACUAAAAAAUAAUUAAUAUUUAGGGGUGAUAGGCCUUCCAAAAUUGACGAUAUCUUGAUGGUGCGGAAAAAUAUAUAGUAUAUUUAUAGAUUAAAAAUGUUAAGGUUUUUAGUUAACAUUAUUUACUUUUAAUUAUUAGUUGAAUACCUAAUAGUUACAACUCAUAGAAAUUAUUAUAUAUUAAUAUAAGAAUGUGUUAGAUACUUACCAUUUAAUACUAAUUAUAUUGUUAAUUUAAAAUGAUAAUAUCAGUAUAUAUAUUAAACUUAGGUAAGGAACUCGGCAAUAUAUUUCUCGACUGUUUACCAAAAACAUAGCCCUAAGUUAUUAUUUAAGGUUAAACCUGCUCAAUGAAUAAAUUAAAUAGCCGCAGUACAUUGACUGUGCAAAGGUAGCAUAAUCAAUUGGCUUAUAAUUGAAGUCUAGUAUGAAUGGGAAUUCGGGGAAUAGCUCUCUCAACCAAGAUUUAUAUAAGUUACUUAAUGAGUGAAAAUUCUCAUAGUAAAAAGAAAGACGAGAAGACCCUAGAAAUUKUGURUAUAUAUAUWWUAUAUWWUWUUGUUGGGGCGACAUAGUAACAAAUAACUUACUAUAAUAUACAUGCUACUACUAAGUUGGGAGAAUAAAUUACUCUAGGGAUAACAGCAUUAUUCAAAGUGAGUUUGUGACCUCGAUGUUGGACUAGGAAAUAAUUUUUCUAAAAGAUAAAUUUAUAGGCUCUGUUCGAGCU